CCGUAGGGGGUACUGCGGAGGGAUCAUUACACAAAUAUGAAGGCGGGCUGGAACCUCUCGGGGUUACAGCCUUGCUGAAUUAUUCACCCUUGUCUUUUGCGUACUUCUUGUUUCCUUGGUGGGUUCGCCCACCACUAGGACAAACAUAAACCUUUUGUAAUUGCAAUCAGCGUCAGUAACAAAUUAAUAAUUACAACUUUCAACAACGGAUCUCUUGGUUCUGGCAUCGAUGAAGAACGCAGCGAAAUGCGAUAAGUAGUGUGAAUUGCAGAAUUCAGUGAAUCAUCGAAUCUUUGAACGCACAUUGCGCCCUUUGGUAUUCCAAAGGGCAUGCCUGUUCGAGCGUCAUUUGUACCCUCAAGCUUUGCUUGGUGUUGGGCGUCUUGUCUCUAGCUUUGCUGGAGACUCGCCUUAAAGUAAUUGGCAGCCGGCCUACUGGUUUCGGAGCGCAGCACAAGUCGCACUCUCUAUCAGCAAAGGUCUAGCAUCCAUUAAGCCUUUUUUUCAACUUUGACCUCGGAUCAGG
rnacentral:rRNA from 1 species